rnacentral:rRNA from 1 species
CCUACGGGAGGCAGCAGUGGGGAAUAUUGCACAAUGGGGGGAACCCUGAUGCAGCGACGCCGCGUGGGUGAAGAAGUAUUUCGGUAUGUAAAGCCCUAUCAGCAGGGAAGAAAAAUGACGGUACCUGACUAAGAAGCACCGGCUAAAUACGUGCCAGCAGCCGCGGUAAUAGGGAUGGUGCAAGCGUUAUCCGGAUUUACUGGGUGUAAAGGGAGCGCAGGCGGCACGCUAAGCCUGAGGUGAAAACCCGCGGCCGAACCGCGGGAGUGCAUUUGGAACUGGCGGGCUGGAGUACCGGAGGGGCAGGCGGAAUUCCUGGUGUAGCGGUGAAAUGCGUAGAGAUUAGAAGGAACACCAGUGGCGAAGGCGGCCUACUGAACGGAGACUGACGCUGAGGCUCGAAAGCGUGGGGAGCAAACAGGAUUAGAUACCCGGGUAGUC